GAUGAAGAACGUAGCGAAAUGCGAUAAGUAAUGUGAAUUGCAGAAUUCAGUGAAUCAUCGAAUCUUUGAACGCACAUUGCGCCCGCCAGUAUUCUGGCGGGCAUGCCUGUUCGAGCGUCAUUUCAACCAUCAAGCCCCCGGCUUGUGUUGGGGACCUGCGGCUGCCGCAGGCCCUGAAAAGCAGUGGCGGGCUCGCCGUCACACCGAGCGUAGUAGCAUACAUCUCGCUCUGGGCGUGCUGCGGGUUCCGGCCGUUAAACCACCUUCAUAACCCAAGGUUGACCUCGGAUCAGGUAGGAAGACCCGCUGAACUUAAGCAUAUCAAUAAGCGGAGGA
rnacentral:misc_RNA from 1 species